rnacentral:rRNA from 1 species
AGAGUUUGAUCCUGGCUCAGAACGAACGCUGGCGGCAGGCCUAACACAUGCAAGUCGAGCGCUUCACUUCGGUGAGGAGCGGCGGACGGGUUAGUAACGCGUGGGAAUAUACCCUUCUCUACGGAAUAGCCUCGGGAAACUGAGAGUAAUACCGUAUAAGCCCUUUUGGGGAAAGAUUUAUCGGUGAAGGAUUAGCCCGCGUAAGAUUAGAUAGUUGGUGGGGUAAUGGCCUACCAAGUCUACGAUCUUUAGCUGGUUUGAGAGGAUGAUCAGCAACACUGGGACUGAGACACGGCCCAGACUCCUACGGGAGGCAGCAGUGGGGAAUCUUAGACAAUGGGCGCAAGCCUGAUCUAGCCAUGCCGCGUGAGUGACGAAGGUCUUAGGAUCGUAAAGCUCUUUCGCCAGAGAUGAUAAUGACAGUAUCUGGUAAAGAAACCCCGGCUAACUCCGUGCCAGCAGCCGCGGUAAUACGGAGGGGGUUAGCGUUGUUCGGAAUUACUGGGCGUAAAGCGUACGUAGGCGGAUUGGAAAGUAGGGGGUGAAAUCCCAGGGCUCAACCCUGGAACUGCCUCCUAAACUAUCAGUCUAGAGUUCGAGAGAGGUGAGUGGAAUUCCAAGUGUAGAGGUGAAAUUCGUAGAUAUUUGGAGGAACACCAGUGGCGAAGGCGGCUCACUGGCUCGAUACUGACGCUGAGGUACGAAAGUGUGGGGAGCAAACAGGAUUAGAUACCCUGGUAGUCCACACCGUAAACGAUGAAUGCCAGUCGUCGGGGA